ACCAGAAAUCUUUCCUCCGAAAUCGUCGUAGGUGCUCAUCUUCCACCCUAUUCCGAUCUUCACUCUCGCUCAAAUUUCUUUGAUGGAUGUUGGACUUCGACAAUCCCAGUCCCAGAUAACCUAAAUCCUUGCCGCUUCGACUUGGGUUCCCAUUAAUUCGACCUAUAUUUGAUUGACCCGUAUCCUUUUUCUUCCUUUCUUUUCAAGGUUGUAGCUUUUGACUCGGCCUGACAUGACCUAAUUCUCACCCUUCUUUUUCUGGUGCAUGCAGCUGCAGAAUUGCUUGGAUCUCGGAAUAGCUGGAGUUCAAUGGCAACUCCGAUAGUUGCAAGUCUAUCGGUGGCUGUGGCUGCGGCUAGAUAUUUGAUUCAGGCAUUUGAAGCUCUCCCUGUUGUUCCUGUUUCAGAGAGCAUGCUCAAUUUGACAAGAUCAAGUUCAUAGAAGAGUGAUGGUAGCUAACCAUCCUGAUAGUGGAGGAAGCCAUUACCUUGCUUCCCAGAUCAAUGAAGCAAAGGAUAUGUUGGUUGAUACAUUGAGAGGAUUCGAUUAAAUUAAUGGCAUAAUUUGAAGUUUCAUGUAAAA